rnacentral:rRNA from 1 species
CCUACGGGAGGCUUCAGUGGGGAAUAUUGGACAAUGGGGGCAACCCUGAUCCAGCCAUGCCGCGUGUGUGAAGAAGGCCCUCGGGUUGUAAAGCACUUUCAGUGAGGAAGAACGCCUGGUGGUUAAUACCCAUCAGGAAAGACAUCACUCACAGAAGAAGCACCGGCUAACUCCGUGCCAGCAGCCGCGGUAAUACGGAGGGUGCGAGCGUUAAUCGGAAUUACUGGGCGUAAAGCGCGCGUAGGUGGCUUGAUAAGCCGGUUGUGAAAGCCCCGGGCUCAACCUGGGAACGGCAUCCGGAACUGUCAAGCUAGAGUGCAGGAGAGGAAGGUAGAAUUCCCGGUGUAGCGGUGAAAUGCGUAGAGAUCGGGAGGAAUACCAGUGGCGAAGGCGGCCUUCUGGACUGACACUGACACUGAGGUGCGAAAGCGUGGGUAGCAAACAGGAUUAGAUACCCUGGUAGUC